AGGACAAAAGUCGAUUAAAAAAUUUUAUCAAAGCCGGGGGAUUUCUUCGAUCUUCAAAAAGAUGACUUUGUAAGUUUCAGUAUGAGUAAUGAUAUUGUAUUGAUCGGGAAUCAUUCAACUAGGGAUUCCUUGCUCAAAGAUGUUCAUUUCUAUGUGUAUCAUAGAUAUCAAAUUGUGAUAAGAGAAAGCCAUUUACGCUUAGAAAAAAAAUCCAUUUCUAAAAGAAUAGAGUGAAUGAGAAAGAUAAGGAAUUUGGAACCGCUAAGGAAAGGGGGUCGGAUAAAUAGUUGGGGAGUUAAAUAGUCUUUUUGGGGAUAGAGGGACUUGAACCCUCACGAUUUUUAAAGUCGACGGAUUUUCCUUUUACUAUAAAUUUCAUUGUUGCCGGUAUUGACAUGUAGAACGGGACUCUAUCUUUAUUCUCGUCCGAUUAAUCAGUUCUUCAAAAGAUCUAUCAGACUAUGGAGUGAAUGAUUUGAUCAAUGAAUAUUCGAUUCUUUCUUCAAUGUAGAAUGGAUUCACACCAAUUCUUCGAUUUUUUAUAGAAAAACUACGGAUUCGGGUCGUCAUUAAUCAUUUGAUAUAGUAUUCAAUACGUAUGUAUAUACGUUUAUCCUUCACUUCAUUCUUUUUCUUUCUGAAGUUUCGAUGUAAAGAGUCCUCUACGAACGCAUUUAACUCCAUUUGUUAGAAUAGCUUCCAUUGAGUCUCUGCACCUAUCCUUUUUUUCUGAACCUUGGUUUGUUUUCAGAAAACAGGAUUUGGCUCAGGAUUGCCCAUUUUUGUUAAUUCCAGGGUUUCUCUGAAUUUGAAAGUGAUCACUUAGUAAGUUUCCAUACCAAGGCUCAAUCCAAUUAAGUCCGUAGCGUCUACCAAUUUCGCCAUAUCCCCCUUUCUUUUUGUUUUGAGAUUAGGAUCUCGUUGUGAUUUCAUUCCUUUUUAUUUUUCUUUCAUUUAUACUGGAACCAUUGAAUUCAUUAGAUACCGAUUCCUAUCUCGAAAACGCGUUUUCUCCUCUUUGAUUUUAUUAACUAUCUUCUAUAGGAGACCCUUUUUUGUCCAAUCAAAAAUGAUUUUAUCAUUUCGGAAUCCGCAAUUCAAUAUAGAUGGAUAUAUACCCGAUCUAUAUGUCUCGCUUCCUGUCAUUUUGCCAUUCAAUUUGGAAUACUUGAACGAUCGAUUCUUGUUUUUAUCUUCACUUUCCCCUGAAAGCCGAGGAAUGUCUCAUUAGUUAUAACUAACCAUUCCAUUAAACAAUUAGAAUUUGAAAUAAAUAUAGAAUGAGAGAUAUAUAUAAUAUAGAAUAUAAUAUACAAAUAUAGAAUAUAAUAUAGAACUGUAAUAAAAAGUAUUUCAAAUGCCAAAAAAAGAAAUGAAAAAAAAAGAAUAUUUACCAUUCAAUUCAAAUUGAAAAUCAAAGAAUAUUAACAAUAUUUACAAUCACUAUUUAAUAAUAUUAGUAUUAGAAUUGUGAUAAAUCGAAAUUCUAGAUCGCUAUAUUAAUCCUUAUGCUCUAGAAUAUUCAAUAGAAUAUUGACUAGUUAAUAACUAAGAUUCCAAUUCCAGUAGUUUAGUCAAUUACUAUGCAUAUAAGAUUUCUGUGAUGUGGGCCCGCUUAGCUCAGAGGUUAGAGCAUCGCAUUUGUAAUGCGAUGGUCAUCGGUUCGAUUCCGAUAGCCGGCUUUUCCCUAUUUUUUUUUUCAUUUUUUAGAUGAUUGAUAAUGUUCCUUUGAAAUCAAAGAAUAUUGAAAUUGCGCCUUCCUCCUUUUCCAAAAGCUAUCAAUUUAUUAUAGGAACUUCCAAUUAUGUCAGCAAAGAAUUAUAUAUAUAUAAUAGAAGGGGUUCUGUAUAUUUAUCUAAUUCAUCCCAUUCUUCUUUUCUUUAUAGUAUUUAUAGUACAAGUACACUAUUUCAGUAAACUUCGCUUCAUUUAGUUCAGUUUAGUUUUAGUUUAGGUUUAUUCUGUAAAAUAAAAUUCAAUAAAAAAAAAUAGAAAUAAGAAUUCAUUCGAAAUACUAAAUAAGAAUAAGGAGUCUUUAUGUCGCGUUACCGAGGACCUCGUUUCAAAAAAAUACGACGCCUGGGGGCUUUACCAGGACUAACUAAUAAAAAGCCUAGGACCGGAAGUGAUCUUAGAAACCAAUCGCGUUCCGGUAAAAAAUCUCAAUAUCGUAUUCGUCUAGAAGAAAAACAAAAAUUGCGUUUUCAUUAUGGUCUUACAGAACGACAAUUACUUAAAUACGUUCGUAUCGCCAGAAAAGCCAAGGGGUCAACAGGUCAAGUUUUACUACAAUUACUUGAAAUGCGUUUGGAUAACAUCCUUUUUCGAUUGGGUAUGGCUUCCACUAUUCCCGCAGCCCGUCAAUUAGUUAACCAUCGACAUAUUUUAGUUAAUGGUCAUAUAGUAGAUAUACCGAGUUAUCGCUGCAAACCCCGAGAUAUUAUUACGGCAAAGGAUGAACAAAAAUCCAGAGCUCUGAUUCAAAUUUCUCUCGAUUCAU
rnacentral:lncRNA from 1 species